GUUGAUCCGUGAGCCUAAGUCUAUGGUUCUCUGAAGCAAAGGUGCCAGUGAAGUUGCUUCAUAAAAAAACAAAACAAAACAAACCUUCCAGAAUCUUCCAUUGGAGAAUUGUCACCUGCAAAGACCUCUGAGAGGAUUCUCCCCUCAAGAGUAAAUUGUCAUAAGGGCUCCCUGUGACGGUUUAUUUUUGCUGUCUUUCCACGAUGGAGAAAAGAGAGACGAUUGGAAAUGGGGCCGUGUGGAAAUGAAACCGGGACUCCAGGUGAAGAGACAGACACAGUGGCCAUCAUCUCAAAGAGACCGGGUGAGAAGGUGGCAGGUGCUGAAUGGAAACACCAACAGACAGAAUUGGAGAGGAGCACUUGGUAGGACGCUUCCUAAAAACCCUGCUUUGCCUCAUCGGUAUGCUGUUCCGGAACAGUUCUGCCUGACGCGGUGCUCCCGCAGGAUGCUCUCCAGGAACAUUCCGGUUAGCCUACCUCAGAAGAGUAACAGCCUGUGCGUGAACCCGUUACCCUCAAGACUUUGCUCUUCUUUCCACAAUACCUUUUGGUGGCCAGUCGACUUCUUCGACUUCCUGUUAGCUUUUCCAAUGGUUGGUUCGGAAACUCAAGUGAUUCUAGCCUUGGCUAUGUGGUCUCAGGAUUCGCACAACUAGUUUUCCUCGUUAUGAAU
rnacentral:lncRNA from 1 species